ensembl:lncRNA
UGCAGCCCUGGCUGUCCUGAAACUCACUCUGUAAACCAGGCUGUGCUGGAACUCAGAAAUCUGCCUGCCUCUGCCUCCCAAGAGCUGGGGUUAAAGACAUGGGCCACCCUGGGCCCUCUUAAUAAGGGCAACUGAAAUCCUUCUAAGACGGGAAGACAGAAAUACAGCAAAGUGUGAGGACGGAGUGGAGAGAGCGAUGAGACUACGAGCCCCAAGUGCCAAGGAUUGUGACCGUAGCCAGAAGCUGGGAGAACACAGGAAGGAUCCUUUUCAGUGUGUUUGCCUAUUGAAGUGGCGCUGGGCCCGAGGGCACCAUCUAAAAGCACAGUUGUCCUGAGGUAGAAUGAGCUCCAGAAGUUUCCUUCUUUAGUGAGAGCCAAGAAUUCAGCCCAGAGCCGAAACAGAUUUGAACGAAGGCAGGUGGCACUGUGUUCUGAACGCCUGUAACCUUGGCAGGAAGGGAGAGGUGAGGCAGUUUCAAGACCAAGGCCCACUUGGGUGCAUAGUGAGAACUUGCUCACCUUGCAAAAAGGAGAGAUGGCACCAAGGAAUAUACUCUGCCAUUCAUUUGCCAAAGCAGUGGUUCUUUACCUUCCGAAUACUACGACCUUUUAAUACAGAUCCUCAGGGUGUGGGGUAUCCCCCCAUAAGAUUACUUUGUUGCUACUUCAUAACUCUAAUUGUGCUACUGUUCUGAAUUGUGAUGUAAAUAUCUGAAAUCAGGAUAUCUGAUGUGCAACCCUCAAAGGAGUUGAGACCCACAAAUUGAGAACCCCUGUGCUAAAGGAACUGAGUAGUAUUCAUGUCCUAGGAUCCAGCAAUGUCUUGUUUUUCUAGGCCAGGUCUUGGACCAGGGCCUUGAUCUGGUAAGACAAGCUUUCUUUUGGCAUUGCCUGGCUUGACGCUCACUUACCCAGUGAACUAUGUGCACCCAAUGACUUCCAGGGCAUUGGCAGUGUUUGGCACCCCAAUAUGAUCAGGGAGAGUCUAUCCCCAGCUCCAGAGUCAGCUAGAUCCUGCGCUGAGCCAUUCCUCGUGCCUUUCCAGAGGAAAGAAUGUCAGUAGGAUCCUGCGUUGAUGUAAAUGUUGCCCAGUCCACGGCCCUCCAUUCUGCCUGCCACGCUCUUAGUAGGAACCCAGGAAAGGUUCUCUCAGCCGGGGCUGCUGAAAAGCCACAGAGAAAGCAGUCUGUUGGAUACAAGUAUCAACUUUAAACUUUCAUGCUUCUUUUGAUGGAGGAUUGAAGACUCUCAUGUCCUCAAUGGACUAGCUGACACAGAUGUGGGAAUCUGCUUUCAUAGGUUAACGAGUCCGUUCAUAGGCUCUUGUGUCUAUUUGGAGAAGCCAGCAGCUUCUGCUGAUGUGAGCAGCCUUGAGGGAGGCCCACUUCAAGUCUACAGCCAACGGUCACGUGAGGCGACACUGAGCUCAUCACGCCCAGAUUCCUGACCCACAGGGGCUGUGGGAGAAACCUUCACGUGAGCCACAGACAAGACGGCUUCGGCAACUCAGCAAGAGAAGCUGCUUCAAGAGACCAGCACUGCAGGCAUCUUGAUCUUGGGCUAGAAGUCUCCAGACCCAAGGGAAAAAUCACUUCAGCUGUUUAAACAAUCAGCUCAGGCAAGCUAACAGGCCUCAUUAUUAUGGGGGAAGCCUUUCAGUUGGACCGGAGUUCCAGGUCCAUCCCCAGUUGCUGCAGCGGCAGGCAAUGAAACAUGAACACAAGACUCAACACCCGUGUGGAGUUUAUUGGAAGAAGG